rnacentral:rRNA from 1 species
UACGUAGGGUGCGAGCGUUAAUCGGAAUUACUGGGCGUAAAGCGUGCGCAGGCGGUUUUGUAAGCCAGAUGUGAAAUCCCCGGGCUUAACCUGGGAAUGGCAUUUGGGACUGCAAGGCUCGAGUGCGGCAGAGGAGACUGGAAUUCCUGGUGUAGCAGUGAAAUGCGUAGAUAUCAAGAGGAACACCAGUGGCGAAGGCGAGUCCCUGGACGAUACCUGACACUGAGGCACGAAAGCCAAGGGAGCAAACAGG